rnacentral:rRNA from 1 species
UACGUAGGGUGCGAGCGUUGUCCGGAAUUACUGGGCGUAAAGAGCUCGUAGGCGGUUUGUCGCGUCUGCUGUGAAAACCUAAGGCUCAACCUUGGGCUUGCAGUGGGUACGGGCAGACUAGAGUGCGGUAGGGGUGACUGGAAUUCCUGGUGUAGCGGUGGAAUGCGCAGAUAUCAGGAGGAACACCGAUGGCGAAGGCAGGUCACUGGGCCGCAACUGACGCUGAGGAGCGAAAGCGUGGGGAGCAAACAGG